UACAGAGGGUGCUAGCGUUGUUCGGAAUCAUUGGGCGUAAAGGGCGUGUAGGCGGUUUGUUAAGUCAUGUGUGAAAUCCCUCGGCUCAACCGGGGAAGGACGCAUGAAACUGGCAAGCUAGAGUACCAAAGAGGGGGGUGGAAUUCCUGGUGUAGCGGUGAAAUGCGCAGAUAUCAGGAGGAACACCGGUGGCGAAGGCGGGUCUCUGGGCCGAUACUGACGCUGAGGAGCGAAAGCGUGGGGAGCGAACAGG
rnacentral:rRNA from 1 species